rnacentral:tRNA from 1 species
GCUCUCGUGGCCCAAUUGUGUAGUGCGUCGUACUUAUAAGCAGUGCAGGAGUAUAUGCGAAGGUCGUGGGUUCGAUCCCCUCCGGGAGCA